UGAUACCAGGGUCAAAAGGUCGGAAAGACGAUGCAAGCUUGCUUGCAAGAGGAUUUUUGACCUUUUGACCCGCCCACACAUGAGAAAGUAGUGAUUUCCCUUGGAAAUCAACGGAUUUUGAAUGUGUGUAGAAUUGUGGAAGUUGCACAGCAACGGAGCAAUUCGUGUAUCA
rnacentral:sRNA from 1 species